rnacentral:rRNA from 1 species
AUUGAACGCUGGCGGCAUGCCUUACACAUGCAAGUCGAACGGCAGCACGGGAGCAAUCCUGGUGGCGAGUGGCGAACGGGUGAGUAAAGUAUCGGAACGUGCCCAGUCGUGGGGGAUAACGUAGCGAAAGUUACGCUAAUACCGCAUACGAUCUAUGGAUGAAAGCGGGGGAUCGCAAGACCUCGCGCGAUUGGAGCGGCCGAUAUCAGAUUAGGUAGUUGGUGGGGUAAAGGCUCACCAAGCCGACGAUCUGUAGCUGGUCUGAGAGGACGACCAGCCACACUGGGACUGAGACACGGGCCAGACGCCUACGGGAGGCAUCAGUGGGGAAUUUUGGACAAUGGGCGAAAGCCUGGUCCAGCCAUGCCGCGUGCGGGAUGAAGGCCUUCGGGUUGUAAACUGCUUUUGUACGGAACGAAAAGGUUUGGGCUAAUAAGCUGAGCUCAUGACGGUACCGUAAGAAUAAGCACCGGCUAACUACGUGCCAGCAGCCGCCGCCG